UACAGAGGGGGCAAGCGUUAUUCGGAAUUACUGGGCGUAAAGCGCGCGUAGGCGGCUUUGCAAGUCGGGUGUGAAAUCCCCGGGCUUAACCUGGGAACUGCAUUCGAGACUGCAUUGCUAGAGUAUGGGAGAGGGAAGUGGAAUUUCCGGUGUAGCGGUGAAAUGCGUAGAUAUCGGAAGGAACAUCAGUGGCGAAAGCGACUUCCUGGACCAAUACUGACGCUCAUGUGCGAAAGCGUGGGGAGCAAACAGG
rnacentral:rRNA from 1 species